CUAGCCGUAAACGAUGGAUACUAGGCGUUGUGAGUAUCGACCCUCACAGUGUCGUAGCUAACGCGUUAAGUAUCCCGCCUGGGGAGUACGCGCGCAAGCGUGAAACUCAAAGGAAUUGACGGGGGCCCGCACAAGCGGUGGGGUAUGUGGUUUAAUUCGAUGCAACGCGAAGAACCUUACCAGGACUUGACAUGUCGCGAAUCUCAGGGAAACUUGAGAGUGCCUUCGGGAGCGCGAACACAGGUGGUGC
rnacentral:rRNA from 1 species